rnacentral:rRNA from 1 species
GACGAACGCUGGCGGCGCGCCUAACACAUGCAAGUCGAACGAGCGAGAGGGAGCUUGCUUUCUCGAGCGAGUGGCGAACGGGUGAGUAACGCGUGAGGAACCUGCCUCAAAGAGGGGGACAACAGUUGGAAACGACUGCUAAUACCGCAUAAGCCCACGGUGCCGCAUGGCACAGAGGGAAAAGGAGCAAUCCGCUUUGAGAUGGCCUCGCGUCCGAUUAGCUAGUUGGUGAGGUAAUGGCCCACCAAGGCGACGAUCGGUAGCCGGACUGAGAGGUUGAACGGCCACAUUGGGACUGAGACACGGCCCAGACUCCUACGGGAGGCAGCAGUGGGGAAUAUUGCACAAUGGGGGAAACCCUGAUGCAGCGACGCCGCGUGGAGGAAGAAGGUCUUCGGAUUGUAAACUCCUGUUGUUGGGGAAGAUAAUGACGGUACCCAACAAGGAAGUGACGGCUAACUACGUG